GCGUGGAUGGUUUAAUGGUAGAAUAUUUCGUUGCCAACGAAGUGACCCGGGUUCGAUUCCCGGUCCGCGCA
rnacentral:tRNA from 1 species